UGGGGAAUUUUGGACAAUGGGCGAAAGCCUGAUCCAGCAAUGCCGCGUGCAGGAUGAAGGCCCUCGGGUUGUAAACUGCUUUUGUACGGAACGAAAAGCCUGGGGCUAAUAUCCCCGGGUCAUGACGGUACCGUAAGAAUAAGCACCGGCUAACUACGUGCCAGCAGCCGCGGUAAUACGUAGGGUGCAAGCGUUAAUCGGAAUUACUGGGCGUAAAGCGUGCGCAGGCGGUUUUGUAAGACAGUGGUGAAAUCCCCGGGCUCAACCUGGGAACUGCCAUUGUGACUGCAAGGCUAGAGUGCGGCAGAGGGGGAUGGAAUUCCGCGUGUAGCAGUGAAAUGCGUAGAUAUGCGGAGGAACACCGAUGGCGAAGGCAAUCCCCUGGGCCUGCACUGACGCUCAUGCACGAAAGCGUGGGGAGCAAACAG
rnacentral:rRNA from 1 species